rnacentral:rRNA from 1 species
AUUGAACGCUGGCGGCAGGCCUAACACAUGCAAGUCGAGCGGUAGCAGGCCUUCGGGCGCUGACGAGCGGCGGACGGGUGAGGAACACGUAGGAAUUUGCCUGGUAGUGGGGGAUAGCCCAGAGAAAUUUGGAGUAAUACCGCAUAUGCCCUGAGGGGGAAAGUGGGGGACCGCAAGGCCUCACGCUAUUAGAGAAGCCUGCGUCGGAUUAGCUAGUUGGUAGGGUAAAGGCCUACCAAGGCGACGAUCCGUAGCUGGUCUGAGAGGAUGAUCAGCCACACUGGGACUGAGACACGGCCCAGACUCCUACGGGAGGCAGCAGUGGGGAAUAUUGGACAAUGGGGGCAACCCUGAUCCAGCCAUGCCGCGUGAGUGAAGAAGGCCCUCGGGUUGUAAAGCUCUUUUGUCCGGAAAGAAAAGCAAUCGGUUAAUACCCGGUUGUUCUGACGGUACCGGAAGAAUAAGCACCGGCUAACUUCGUG